rnacentral:rRNA from 1 species
GAUGAACGCUGGCGGCGUGCCUAAUACAUGCAAGUCGAGCGAAUGGAUUAAGAGCUUGCUCUUAUGAAGUUAGCGGCGGACGGGUGAGUAACACGUGGGUAACCUGCCCAUAAGACUGGGAUAACUCCGGGAAACCGGGGCUAAUACCGGAUAACAUUUUGAACCGCAUGGAUCGAAAUUGAAAGGCGGCUCCGGCUGUCACUUAUGGAUGGACCCGCGUCGCAUUAGCUAGUUGGUGAGGUAACGGCUCACCAAGGCAACGAUGCGUAGCCGACCUGAGAGGGUGAUCGGCCACACCGGGACUGAGACACGGCCCAGACUCCUACGGGAGGCAGCAGUAGGGAAUCUUCCGCAAUGGACGAAAGUCUGACGGAGCAACGCCGCGUGAGUGAUGAAGGCUUUCGGGUCGUAAAACUCUGUUGUUAGGGAAGAACAAGUGCUAGCUGAAUAAGCUGGCACCUUGACGGUACCUAACCAGAAAGCCACGGCUAACUACGUGCCAGCCGCCGCUGUAA